rnacentral:rRNA from 1 species
GUGGGGAAUUUUGGACAAUGGGCGCAAGCCUGAUCCAGCCAUUCCGCGUGCAGGAUGAAGGCCUUCGGGUUGUAAACUGCUUUUGUACGGAACGAAAAGCCUCUGGUUAAUACCCGGGGGUCAUGACGGUACCGUAAGAAUAAGCACCGGCUAACUACGUGCCAGCAGCCGCGGUAAUACGUAGGGUGCGAGCGUUAAUCGGAAUUACUGGGCGUAAAGCGUGCGCAGGCGGUUUUGUAAGACAGGCGUGAAAUCCCCGGGCUCAACCUGGGAAUUGCGCUUGUGACUGCAAGGCUGGAGUGCGGCAGAGGGGGAUGGAAUUCCGCGUGUAGCAGUGAAAUGCGUAGAUAUGCGGAGGAACACCGAUGGCGAAGGCAAUCCCCUGGGCCUGUACUGACGCUCAUGCACGAAAGCGUGGGGAGCAAACAGGAUUAGAUACCCCUGUAGUCC